rnacentral:rRNA from 1 species
GAGUUUUGAUCCUGGCUCAGAUUGAACGCUGGCGGCAUGCUUUACACAUGCAAGUCGAACGGCAGCAUGGGGGCAACCCUGAUGGCGAGUGGCGAACGGGUGAGUAAUAUAUCGGAACGUACCCGAGAGUGGGGGACAACCAGUCGAAAGAUUGGCUAAUACCGCAUACGAUCUACGGAUGAAAGUGGGGGACCUUUGGGCCUCACGCUCCUGGAGCGGCCGAUAGCUGAUUAGCUAGUUGGUGGGGUAAAGGCCUACCAAGGCGAUGAUCAGUAGCUGGUCUGAGAGGACGAUCAGCCACACUGGGACUGAGACACGGCCCAGACUCCUACGGGAGGCAGCA